GCUAUGUUAGUUUAUUUUAAAGAAUGUGUAAUUUGUAAUUACAAGGAUAAAAUUAGCA
rnacentral:tRNA from 1 species